UGGAAAAUAGGGACACUUGGUAAGUGAUUCAAAUACUGAAUAAAUAAUAAACAUGACUUGUCUGGUGUUACCUGAGGAGUGUGUGUGUGUGUGUGUGUGUGUGUGUGUGUGUGUGUUCAAGAGAAAGAGUGCUACCUUCCAG